GCCCCAAUGGCCCAGUGGUAACUCUCCCACCUGCCGUGUGGACGACCUGGGUUCAAAUCCCGCCAUCGGCGCC